ACUUGAUCUCAAAUCAGAUAAGAGUACCCGCUGAACUUAAGCAUAUCAAUAAGCGGAGGAAAAGAAACUAACAAGGAUUCCCUUAGUAACGGCGAGUGAAGCGGGAAGAGCUCAAAUUUGAAAUCUUCAAGGUUCUACCUUGACGAAUUGUAGUUUAAAGAAGUGUUUUCUGUUAGAUGAGUAGCAAAAGUCCCUUGGAAUGGGACAUCAUAGAGGGUGAGAAUCCCGUAUUUGGUUAUUCAUUCUAGCUUUGUGAUACACUUUCAAAGAGUCGGAUUGUUUGGGAAUGCAGUCCAAAAUGGGUGGUUAAUUUCAUCUAAAGCUAAAUAUUGGCGAGAGACCGACAGCGAACAAGUACCGUGAGGGAAAGAUGAAAAGAACUUUGAAAAGAGAGUUAAACAGUACGUGAAAUUGUCAAAAGGGAAGCGUUUGACACCAGUGUUGUUUUUCCGAAAAUCAAUUACGAAUGGCUUGAUUUUGUGUUGUAUUGACCUUAUCAGCUUUCUUCACUUUUUUCGAGUCUUUCUUAAUGCACUUUUCGGUUAACAAGUCAACAUCAAUUUCUUUUGUUGUAAAAGAGUAUUCGGAAGGUGGCUUUCUUUUCGGAGAAAGUGUUUAUAGCCCUAUACUUCUACAAUCGGAGAGAUUGAGGUCUGCAGCGUAGAUCCUUCGGGGUUAGAUACAUUUGUGCUAAGUUGUAGCUUUUCAUAGACAACUUGUUGACUAUGUUUAGUCAUGCGGCUUACUCGCUUAUGCUAUUUUACCUACGCUUAGGAUGUUGACAAAAUGGUUUUAAACGACCCGUCUUGAAACACGGACC
rnacentral:rRNA from 1 species